rnacentral:misc_RNA from 1 species
GAUGAAGAACGUAGCGAAACGCGAUACGUAAUGUGAAUUGCAGAAUCCCGUGAACCAUCGAGUCUUUGAACGCAAGUUGCGCCCGAAGCCAUUAGGCCGAGGGCACGCCUGCCUGGGUGUCACACACCGUUACCCUCGCGCCAACGUCCAUCGUUGGCCGCGGCGCGGGGCGUGCGCUGACCUCCCGCGAGCGGGGUCUCGUGGUUGGUUGAAAAUCGAGUUCGCGGUCGAGGGUGCCGUGAUGAAAUGGUGGAUGGGCGACGCCCGAGGCCAAUCACGCGCGACUCUGUCCGGCUCGGACUCCUGGACCCCUUCGGCGUCUCCGGACGCUCUUUGGCGAGACCUCAGGUCAGGCGGGGCUACCCGCUGAGUUUAAGCAUAUCAAUAAGCGGAGGA